CCGCGGUGGCGGUGGCGGUGGCGCGGCGUGGCCCGGCGGCAAGGGCAGCCAGAGGAAGGCCGACGACUUCGAGGCCGCGUUCCGGGAGUUCCACGAGGACUCUGACGAGGACGAGGAGAUGACGGAGGUGGUGGAGAGCAAGCCCGCCUUCAUCUUCAGCGCCCCGUCGUCCCCAGCGACGAAGCCCAGGGCGGCGCGCCAGGAGCAGCCGAUCCGGCGCCGGAAGGCCGCGCAGCAGUACAGGGGCGUCCGGCGCCGCCCGUGGGGCAAGUGGGCCGCCGAGAUCCGCGACCCCGUCAAGGGCGUCCGCGUCUGGCUCGGCACCUUCCCCUCCGCCGAGGCCGCCGCGCUCGCCUACGACCACGCCGCGCUCGACGUCCGCGGACCCAGGGCCAAGCUCAACUUCCCCUCCUCCUCCGCCGCCGCCGCUGGGGCCCCAGCCAGCCGCAAGCGCGCCCGCGCCUCCGACGCCGCCUUCAUCGACCUCGUCGACCAAGAGGAACAAGAGCAGCUCACGGCGGCGGCGACGACGGCCUUGAAGCACGAGGCCGCCGAAGAAGCAGCCGGCGAGAGCUCCGGUGCACUCCCGGACUUCUCGUGGCAGGGCGUGCUGUCGGCGUACGACGAGUCCCCCGCCGUCGACGUGGAGGCCGGCCAGAGCGGCGAUAAGAAGCGGCCGAGGACCGAGCCGGAGAGCACCGAAGACGAGGCGUCGCCACGGGCCUCCUCCGGCUCCGAGCCGGACGCGCUGUUCGACGCGCUCCUCUUCGGCGACCAGUUCGCCUUCUUCGACGCCGGCGCGUACGAGUCACUGGACAGCCUGUUCAGCGCGGACGCCGUGCAGAGCAACGCGGCGGCGGACCAGGGCAUGCCGCUGUGGAGCUUCGAUGACGGCUGCCUCGUCGAGGACAACCUGUCGUUUUGAAGAGUUUCGACUGUUGCUGUGUCAGUUUUGUAAAUUACGACGUUUUGUGGAGUUUCUGCUGUACCAGUACUUGGCAGCCUGUAUAUGAGGAGUUGAAUGAAAUCAUCGUUCUCGAGAAAAAAAAAUCUGUCUAUCCAUGAAUACAAUGAGGACUUGUUUAGUUCACUCCCAAAUUCAAAAAAUUUUCAAGAUUCUUCGUCACAUUAAAUAUACAUGCAUGAAGCAUUAAAUAUAGACGAAAACAAAAACUAAUUACACAGUUUGUAUGUAAAUCAUGAGAUGAAUCUUUUGAUCCUAGUUAGUUCAUGAUUGAACAAUAUUUAUCAAAUAAAAACAAAAGUGCUACGGUAGCGAAAUCCGAAAUUUUUUCGGAACUAAACGAGGCCUAAUUUCAUAAUUGACCAACAGAAACAGACUAACCCGACUAGAAGAUUCAUCUUUUAGACCAUGUUGAAGACGGACCCUCGCCUGCUCGAUGGAGGCGCCUGUGUCCAUGUAAGAAACCAUGGGUUGAUGCUAUACCACUUUUACAAAAUCAAGAAAAUUCAGUUUUGACAAAUCCGGUUUGGUAUUACAAAAUCAGGAUUAAUUCAAGGAUUAAUUCAGUAGGAGAUAAGGAGACAGGGAGCAGGAUGCCGCUACUGAUGGGGCUUUUCUCGGAGGAUUUUGCCUGCCCCUUCCCUUUGGAUGGGAGAUCUGACUGUACUUUGACAAAAGAUGGUACUCACUGAAGGAGGUGGGAAGCAAAUGACAAUUAAUUCUAGAGUCAUUUUGGUAGCUUUUGAAUAGAGAGCAAUAAGGAACAUGUUUUUUUUAGCCCCCAGCUCCCGGUAUAAUUUGUGUAAGAUUUUACUAUUUGGGUGACAAGGAGUGGUUCUCGUAGAGAAUAUGCUCCAAAGAGCUUUGUCCAUCGGCCUCUAGAUAAUGAACUAUGAAACCGGUUACUCAAUGCUCUCCAACGUUUAAAACAAGACAAAUUUAUCCAUUCAAGUGGUUUCAAAUGUGGCAAAUGUAGUUUAAUUUCUAAAAUCAGUGUUCAAAAUGGCUAGACAUGGCAUUUUCACGCUAAUUUGCUCAAACCACUAUGAAAGCUAUAGCCGCGGUUAAACUAUUUGCAUUUCAAGAAAAUAAAUCUAAAGACCAGAUAGAUAAUAUUUUUAGGAAAAAACACUACUUUCGUCUUAUGAUUUAAAAUAUAUUAUUUAUGUAUUUUUAGAGAUUAAAUCAUAUUUUUUUUAUCAUUUAGAAAAUAGAAAUCCAUCUUUGAAAGGAGCUAAUAAAGGACUGAAUUUGUCCAGUUUCAACAAUUGAAUGCCGCCCAAUACUUGGUUUCGUAAUUUAGGAUUGAAAGUUAGAUUAUUAUCUAAGUUGGAGAUUGAAAAAAAAACAUUUUAUCUUCUUUUAUUUUAUCACAGUUGCACGGUUUAUUACAGAAACUUAAGGCUUAUUUGGCAGGGCUCCUCACGAGGGGCUUCUUUUAGAGGAGCUGGAGCCAUUUUAGUGAAGCCACAAAUUAUGGUUUCGCCAAAAUGGUUCCGACUUCUCUAUUUUUUACUCAAAAAUGGUUUCACCAGAAAAUAUUUGGCAGGGCUCGUCUGGAGGAGUCAGAGCUGGAGCCGAAGAAGAGUCCUGCAAUCAGGCCCUUGAGCCGGACAUAGCCUUAUUAGCCUUAAAUCCAACCUUCACCACUCCAUCAUGGAGGACUCGAGACCACACCGACAACGUGGAGGUCCAGGCCACACGGUGCCACUGCGGCAUACUCUGUGUACAAAAGCGACGCGCGCAGUGGGCAAAGUUUGACAUUUUGUAUUUGCAAAGUCAGGGAUUCAUAAAUUCAUUCGAUGAAGACAAUGACGAUGGGGAAAAAAAGAGAGGAAAUGAUAAGAUAAACUUUGCCAGCUGCAAGUAUGAGCGCCAAACGAUAGGGAGGAUUUCUUUUAUUAUUAUCGGUGAUAUUGUUUUGUUGGCAAACCAGUCGCAUUCUCACCAUCGUCAGAGACAGCCCAGCUCAAAAUGGUGUCGACAUCCGGGCUCCAUACCAUGGUCUACACGCACAGCAACUCCAUGAUCUCUGAAUAAACAAACAAAUCAAGAUGUUGCCAUAGUCACCUCUAUCACCAGGGAUCCAGGGCAAGCCUGGCUGGCUGUGUGUACGUGCACAUACACGUACAGAACUAUUUUGAUCGAUAUACGAAAAAAAAUACUUAUCCAUGCUCCAGUUUUUGUCAUGCAUGAUGUAUGCCUAAUGAAGCAGGAUUCUAAAAUUGAUAGACUCAGGACAGACAUCUCGAUAUAGGCAUAUCACCACCAUGAUAACAAUGCUGCUAAAUACUGCUUCCUCCACUCCAAUCUAUGACACGUUUUGGCUUUUGUAUCACCGUGAAACAAUGCUGCUAAGGCUUGUUUAGUUCUCAAAAAAAUUUGCAAAAUUUUCAGAUUCUCCGUCACAUCAAAUUUUGCGACACAUGCAUACAACAUUAAAUAUAGAUAAAAAAAUAACUAAUUGCACAGUUUAUCUAAAUUUUGCGAGACGAAUCUUCUAAGCCUAGUUAAUCUAUAAUUAGAUAAUAUUUGUCAAAUACAGUUGCAGUGUCUAUUUUUACAAAAAAAAAAUUGAACUAAACAAGGCCUAAAUAUGGUUUCCCCCACUCCAAUCUAUAAGAAAUUUUGGAUUUUCUAGACAUCGGUUCUGCUAUGCACCUAUAUACUAUGUCUACAUCUAAAAAAAAUAAAAUAUCUUAUAAUUUAAAACAAACAGAGGUUACUUUUUAAUGAAAAUACUAGAAUAAUUUUUAUUCAUAAUACUAGAACAAAUUUAAGAAAAAAUCAGCACGCAUACCAAAUUAAUUAUUUAACUUAGAUGGAUAGUACCAGCUAAGUUACACUCAGUUCACCCAUGGUCAUCAUCUUUAAUGAGCUAUGAACUUGUAUUUUCCAUAUAUCUAAUAAGGGGAGAAUAGCCUUUUGAUUUGGAUAUUGUUUUCUCUAAAGGGACUAAAUCUUUGUUAUAUAGAAGAAAAAAAAUUAAAACGACAAUACUUGGAUGUUGCCGUGAAGAAAUUCAAGUGGGAGAAAAAGAAAUGCUUGUCGCUUACCAAAAGGAUCAUCAUCCCAGGCUGAUGUCCCCACCCCAAAUUCCUAGUCGGCCGGCUACACGUUUGUCCAGCGUGAGAUACCGCUCUCCCUUGAUACCUAGGGCUGGGACUGGCGGAGUGAUCCGUGGUUUUGUGUUGCAUGGUAUGUAGUAUGUCCUGCGCCUCUUAACGGAGAGACGAAGCUUGUUAUUACUAAUAACAUACUCGGUGAUUAUUACUAUUUGGAUGGUCCAUUCAAAUAGGCACGACUCUGCAACAUGUACAGUAGUAUGCAACAGUGAGUCCGGCCGUCUAGACACACGAGCUCAGUAGGUAGGUAGUAGCCCAGUAGGUAGCACGAGACAAUUGUUGCUAUCGGCAAAGGCAAACGCAAAGGAUGGUAUCACAUCGCACACCCAGUUGAUGAUAAAUCAAUACCGUGGUUUACUUGGUGAAAAUUUUUCGACUACAAAAAUUUUCUUUAUAUUUAGUAAUUAUUAUUUAAUUAUAGAAUAACUAGAUUUAAAAAUUUAUCUUACAAACUACAAGUAAAUUAUACAAUUAGUUUUUUUUAUCUAUAUUUAAUGUUCUACGUAUGAACCGUAAGAUUCAAUAUGAUGAAAAAUUUUAAAAAUAUUUUGAAUUUUAGGUGUAACUAAACAAAACUUGUAUGUUGGUACCAACUAGCUACGUAGCUUGGUCUAUCCAAUCGCACAAACAACAUAAAGCACAACCAAAGUAAUUUAGCAUCCACUUGGUUGGGGUAGAGGAUACAUUACCGCCUUGACACCGUAACUAGCAAAUCGUACCAGGUUUCAGCAUUUCAGGAUACCGCUUUGAUUUGGAGCUAUCAUCAGCAGGGAAAAAAAUUGAAAGAAAUUACUGAUGUCCUCCUACUGAACUCCGUAAGACUUUUGCAAAAUUUUCCGUUCUUGCAGAUCAGAUCACCCCAACUACACAUGCGCUGGACAUCCGCCACAAUUUUUUUUAGCGAACGUGCAAUUUAGCACGCAUUUCGUUUUAUUAUUAUAUAAGAGAAGAGAACGAUGGGCUGUUUACGUGUGCUGUAGGGAGACGCGCGAAUUCGGGAAGUGGCCAUUGCCCUGCUUGAUCUGAUCGGAAAUCGAAAUGAGCUACACUCAGUUCUUUUUUUUUUAAAAAAAAAAAGACGACAAAGAGGAUUUUUAUUAGACAAGAAAAAAAGGAUAAACAAGAUUUACAAAGAGAAACACAAGCUAAAGACCACAGCUAACAUGGCACCUAAGCCAAUCACCCAGCUACAAACUACUAGCAAAAAGGGAAAAACAACAGAAACUAUUUACUCUAAACUCACAAAGAAGGGCCCUGAAAGACACCCUAGACCACAGAUACAGAAACGAAAAUACCCGUAAAACUCGACUAAAGCUACACUCAGUUCAUCAAGGAUCAAAUAUCCUUAAUGAGCUCUGAACUUGUAUAUUUUCCAUGUAAAGGACGACAUCUUUGCCGUGAAGAAACUCAAGUGCGACAAGUAUAUACUUUUCUUUCGGUUGACAUCAAGAGUUGUAUUUAGUAACGAACGACCUUUGUUCUUCCAGGACCAAAAGGGAGGGUCAUCAUCGUAGGCUGAAGUGAUGUCCGCCAAAUUCCUAGUCCCGGCCACACGUUUGUCCAGUGUGAGAGAUACUACCGCUCUCCCUUGAUACCUAGGAUCGGACUGGGAGUAAUCCGUGGUUUUGUGUUGCUCGGUAAGUAACGGAGUAGCUGGUUGUUGACAGCAGUGUUAACAUACUACUAGGUGGUUACUGAUUUUUUAAAAAAACAGGUGAUUACUGAUGAUUCGAUUGGAUGGUCCAUUCAAACAAGUAAACAACUCGGUACUCUGUACAUGCAGCAGUCGAGAGUACCUGUAGGCAGCACGAAGACUUGGUGGUUAGCGUCAGGACUCACGGCUCAGGAUUGCUCCUUGCUAUCGGCAAAGGCACGACGACGAGCUCCGGUUGAUGGUACGUAGCGCAUCCAGUUGAUGAUAAGUAAGUAUGUUCGUAGCAAGUAGUAGCAACAUAUAAGUAUGUACGUAGCAUGGUCCGUCCAAUCGCACGAACUAACUUAAAGCGCGCGCCACGAAAGUAAUUUAGCAAUCCACUUGGGGUUAAUUAGAUGAGAUACAUUACCGCCUUGACACCGAAACUGGCAGACCGUACCAGGUUUCAAGCACUUCGUGAUACCGCUUUCAAGCUACCAUCAGCAGGGGAAAACAAGAAGAAACAACCACUGUCUUAAUUACUGAACUCCGUAAGACGAUGCACACUACAUCCAUCUGAUGAUUUGAUAAAUUUGUGCAAAAUUUCCUAGACGUUCACAAUCGCCGAAGGCAGAACGAUGAGUCCAUGAGCUGUUACCGUGUCAAUAGGGGCGCCGGCGGCAAGCCCGGCCAAGCGGACUUCCAGGCCCGCGCGUGCUCUGUGCUGUAAGCCAGUCUGGAGACGCGCGAAUGCGGGAAGAGGCCAUUGCCGUGCCGUGCCGUGCUUGACGUGAUCGGAAAUCGGAAUGAAAUCGGGUGCCCUUACUCACCUGUCGUCUGGUGGGAGUGCAAAGCCCCCUCCCCCCUGGCUUCUGCAUCAUCGCCCGCCUCUUGAUUGAACGAGCCUGGCCGUCGUCUGGGUCUAGUCGUCAAGGUGAACCUGCUGACUUGCAGGGUCUCGCCGUCCAAGUCGCAAUCGCGGACUUUUCUAGUACUACCUCCAUGGCCUUCUCGCCCUCUCCAAGCGCCUAUAUAGUCGCCACCUCGGCACUGCCGACGAUCACAGCCAACACGACACUAGUUCACUCCCUCCUACGCUCUCAUCUCCAAGAAAAGAGCACGCUAGGCAGCUGACAACCUUGCGACGAUCUAGCUAGCAUUAGCAACAUGUGCGGCGGCGCGAUCCUCGCAGAGCUCAUACCCAGCGCGCCGGCGCGGCGCGUCGUCACGCCGGGCCACGCGAGCGGCGGCGGCGGCGGCGAUGACGACUUCGAGGCCGCGUUCCGGGACUUCGACGAGGACUCCGACGAAGGCGCGGUCAUGAAGGAGGAGCGUCAGAAGCGCAAGGCGUUCGGGUUCGCGGUCCCCGCGACCGCGCCCGGAACCCGGCGCAGGCGGCGGCCGCCCAGCAGCAGCCAGUACCACGGCGUCCGGCGCCGGCCGUGGGGCAAGUGGGCGGCCGAGGUGCGCGACCCCGUCAGGGGCGUCCGCGUCUGGCUCGGCACCUUCGCCACCGCCGAGGCCGCGGCGCGCGCCUACGACCACGCCGCGCGCGACCUCCGCGGCGCCAACGCCAAGCUCAACUUCCC
rnacentral:lncRNA from 1 species